rnacentral:rRNA from 1 species
AGCUCCAAUAGUGUAUAUUAAUGUUGUUGUGGUUAAAAAGCUCGUAGUUGGAUUUCGGCGGGUAUUGGCUGGUUCGAAUUGAUUCGAUACUGGCUUUUUUACCCGUGUGUUUUGCCAGAAUCUGACGGGUGAUCUUUACCGAUUGUCCGGCGGAACUGGUAGGUUUACUUUGAAAAAAUUAGAGUGCUCAAAGCAAGCUUGAUUGCUUGAAUAUUCGUGCAUGGAAUAAUAGAAUAGGAGGUCGUUUCUAUUUUGUUGGUUUUCGGAAAUCGACUUAAUGAUUAAUAGGGAUAGUCGGGGGCAUUUGUAUUCAAACGACAGAGGUGAAAUUCUUGGACCGUUUGAAGACAAACUUCUGCGAAAGCAUUUGCCAAGAAUGUUUUCA